rnacentral:lncRNA from 1 species
AGUUCCAUAAUAAUAAUAAUAAUGGCAAUGUACGUAGGUGUGUUCCUUUGACAUCUUACGUUUCCUUUUUUCCUAAACCUUUUGCUCCAUAUAAUUUUGUUCAGAAUUUUGCACCACACAGGUAGAUUUUAUUCAGAAUUUUGCACCACACAGGUAGAUGGAUGAUGCAUAUAUAUGCAUCAACAUAACAUACGAUAUUAUAUUUCUAAUGGGAGCAGCAGCACACUUUGUGCUCGACGCUUUCGUCACACCAGCCACCGUCCUUGAAACCCUUCGAGCUACAGAUCAAGCGGCAGUUCUGGUGGUCCUCGGAAUAGGACGAGAGGUAUGGCCUUCUCGGCGGCGGCGGUGACUUCUUGGGUUUCCCGAUGCCUGCACACACAUCGCAGUCCAAACGAGACCGGCCGGUUAAUUAAUAGAUAAUUAUCGCCAGCUCUUAGAAGGAAAUAGUAACUCUUGCGCAAGUAAUUAGAAGUAGAGAUCGAAGGUGCCUACAGCCGCCGGCUUCGUAGCAUGGAGACAGCGAGGACAGAAUGGCAACAGCCAACAGAAGCGCGACGAUUGUGCUGCUCUUCAUCACCGCCGUAAGGAAAGAUGAUCAAGCUUCCCUUAUUACCACGAGCUAGUGACGAAGAGAGAUUAUAUGAUUUGUUUGUUCUAAUCUCCAUCUUCGAUCUCACUUGUACUUAUAUAGAAGACGAAUCCAUCUCUAGCACAUCUCAUUUGUGCCAGAAGAUCUAGUUAUAGAUAUAGAUAGAGAUAGAGAUAUAGAAAUUUUACAUAUAGAUAUAGUUAUGGAUAUAGAUAUUGGGAUAUGUUGUUGUUGAUAUAAUAUGAUGAUAUUGGUUUAGUCAUACAAAGACAACCAACAUAUUUGCAAUGGUUGUUCUUCCACUACUAAUUAUUUUGCAAUCUAAUAAGAAGAUAUUAGACAUUAAUCCAUAAAUGCUUAGACGAAACAUACCUAAGCUUGGAGGUGCGUCUACAUAGCAUAGACACUACCAGAGUCACAUGCUUUGCCGAGUGCCCCAUGCACUCGGCAAAGCCAGAAAUACACACAGUAAACCUUUUGCAGAGUGUCACACCCGGCAAAGAGUAAACGGCAAAAAAAUCAUUGGCAAAGGCGGUUCAACCCUAUUUAGUCGUUGUCACAAUCGCUGCUGUUGUUUCCAGCCGCCACCAUUGUUUCCAGGCCGUGUCCAACGGUUCACCCCGUUGUCUCUCUUUCCUGUAUACUCGGUGUAUGGACGUCUGGAAUGUGGUCCAACGAUGUGUGAUGACACCGAAGGAAAUCAACAGAAGGCGGGAAGGAACCAUGGCUACUAGGAGGGUUCGAUGUCAAGUGAAGCCCAACUCUCGCGUCCAUGGGCCAGAUUGGACCCAAUGAGUGUUUUAGUGUUUUCUUUUUGUUUUGGCAUGUGGUAUAAAGAAAAGGACUUUAUGAAUCGCCAAGGGCGGCUUGGGGCAUAAGUUGAGGCCGACUGCGUUCGGAAAGGGAGGGCUCUUCCUCUGUAACCUGAAUCAUGAAUUCCAGUGAUAAUUUGAUACUUCGUGAGGUGGAGGGUACCAGGAGCGGUGCUCGUGAUCCAAAUCAUGUCUUUGUGUUCAUCGGCUCUGUUACCUGUUCCAUGGUUCUAUUACAAUUGGUAUCAGAUUCCUGGUUCCUGAUCCUGGUGAAACCUCUAGAAUAUAUUCUUCGCCCUUAUUACAAUACAAGAAACCAGAAGUAGUUAGAAGCGAUGGAGAAAAUAUCAUUGAUCUAUCGGUGCUCUUGCUGAACAUGCAACUCUAGAGUGAAUCAAGCAAGCAAAAUAAUAUGUCAAAAGAAACAUGAUUACAUGACUGCCUAUCUGUCCAAGAAAAAUAAUUGAGAUUGUUUAAGAAAAAUAAAAUGCAUAAUUGUCUAACUGUCCAAAAUGCACAACUUGUAAACUCUUAAGAUAAAAUAUUUUUGUCAUUGUAUUGGCAUUAGUAAUGUCUAAGAAAUGUGAGUGAGUUAGUAAGUUAUAAAAAUGCCACCAAUAAUAUUAUCUAAGUAAUGUGAGGCUGCCGGUAAGACCUACUCUUACUAAAGUCGCCAGAACCCACAUGUACCUAACACUACCGUAAAGGAUGCAUCUCAUAUUCUAGUAGGUGCAGAACAUACACUAUCAGCACCAAGUCAAUGAUUUUGACACAUCAAAGUGUUACCGACCAAAACACACCUAAAUAAAAUUCAUCAUGCUUGCACAGACACUUCAGUUACGACUACACCAUAGAAAAUUCAAUUUUCAAGAUUGGAUAGAACCUAUCAGGCAAGAAGGGAUACACUACUGCAAAUUCAGAGAUGCAUAUUGCUCUAUUCAGGGAAUAAGAAAUACACUAAUUGGAUCUCAGAGAAGCAUUUGACAGCUCCAUUUUGAGAAGUGCAAGAUCUGUACCAUUUGUCGGGAGGUGAAAGGAUGAAUGGUCCUUACCGAAGGACGCUGCAAGCCAACGUUGUUAUCCCGACGUGCUUGGCUCGAUAGGUUCAGAUCGUCGCACCUGACUGGUUCAUAUCCCGAAUGUAUCAUCUCACACUCCAACCAAAACACACCCAAAUAAAAUUCAUCAUGCUUGCACAGACACUUCAGUUACGACUGCACCAUAGAAAAUUCAAUUUUCAAGAUUGGAUAGAACCUAUCAGGCAAGAAGGGAUACACUACUGCAAAUUCAGAGAUGCAUAUUGCUCUAUUCAGGGAAUAAGAACUACACUAAUUGGAUCUCAGAGAAGCAUUUGACAGCUCGAUUUUGAGAAGUGCAAGAUCUGUACCAUUUGCCGGGAGGUCAAAGGAUGAAUGGUCCUCGCCGAAGGACACUGCAAGCCGACAUUGUUAUCCCGACGUGCUUGGCUCGAUAGGUUCAGAUCGUCGUGCCCGACUGGUUCAUAUCCCGAAUGUAUCAUCUCACACUCCAACGCCUCGGCUGGCUCCUCCAACGACGAUGGUGUCUCUCCCGCUCUUGCCCUCCUUUCCUCGAACAAAACUGCGUGCGCGGCUGGAAAAAAGACGUCGGAAGCUACUGGAUUGCACGCGCUCGGGAAGAAUUGGGGAGAGUUUGGCUCACGCAUAUAUGUGGGAUGCAUCAUCGUCUUUACAGGAAGCUGAAAAAUGGGGAAAUGAUUAGCAGACCAUUGGAGGCGAGAAAAGUGAAGUUUUGACGCGAAAAACUCUACUGGGGUUGGUAUACGACUUCUCUUGGAGUUGCUCUUAGGUUACCUAAUAUGCGGCUUGCAUUAUGAACUGAACAAAUUAAGGAUCAACUAGAUAUUUUACCCUCGUCAUGAACUAUAACUAAUAAAAAGGAGGCUUACCUUCAUUGAGGAUGGCAAUGAUCUGGACCAUAAAUGGUGGGAAGUCAGACUUCCAUAUCAGUGCAAGAAGCAUAAAACCAAGCUGUUACAACAAAGUAUGUAUGGGUAAGAUAUAUUAUCUCCGUUCUCGAAUACUUAUCGUCCGACCAGUUCAUUUUUGAACUAAAACGCGACAAAUAUAUAAAAAUGAAGUGGGUAUUAUUUAUCUAUUCAGUCAAGCGAGCGUUAUUUUCUAAAAAGUAAGCAGAAGUCCAUACAUACCACAAUACAGAUGGUAAUUGAUACAACAUAGAUCUGCAAACAAAAAUGAAUUUUGAAAAUAUUGGACAUAGAAAUGGAAUGCUAGGAGACUCAGGGGGCGAAGCCAGGAUUUGAGAGUGAGGGGACAAAUCAGAUUGUGAGGGCUGUUAGAAGGUAUUUUACAUUAUUUAUAUGGCGAUUAGCUAAAAAUUUUAGUAGCUCGUACAAAUUUGGGGAGGGUUUACUAUCUCCAUCAGACUCCCUAUCACACGUUAUCUCACUCCUUAUUUCAAACUUCACUCAUGCGAAAACAUUAUUUUAAAUAGCCGUUUACCCGGUCUGCUCGAGAUGGCCUUACGGGGACAUUGCUCUCCUCUGCCCCUACUAGAAUCGCAUUGUAGACUGAAAAGCAACCGUAGCAUUGACUUACUUUGUAAUUCUUCAUCUUUUGGAAAAUUGCUCGACUCGUCAACACAACUCUAUUAAUUACACUAAGGCAUGGUUAGGAUAAUGUCAGAAGCACCAUGGGUUGCGUAAGUAGAGUCUGCUAUUGCAAUACCAAUAUCAGCCUUCUUCAAAUUUUGGGCAUCAUUUACACCACCCAAGUCAUGCCACAUAUAUGUUUUCUUUCUUGCAAGCAUUUCACGAUCUCAUACCUGUGUUCUAUCAAGCAUUAACAAAAAAAUGAAUUAGACAUAAAUACUGCCUAUAGAUGUUGAAGAAUUGUAGAGCUUAUCAAACAUGAGUAAUAAAAACAGGCAAUCUGCAUAGUUGUACCUAGAAAGACUCCAGAUAAGCCAUCAGCCUUCUCGGUCAAUUCAUCAAUUGGCAAGGAAGCAAGUGACUCAUCCUUAUUCUGUUCAGAGUAAGGAAGAGGAAGGGUACAUUUAGUACUCAUUCCCAAACGACGUGUUGUUUCCUUCCCAAUACCAAGUUGAUCACCUGAGGCGGGAAAAAGGUCGGUUAUUACAGCACAACAGUUCAGUUGCAGUAGCCAUAUCUACAAACAUAUUACUAUCGACAAGCUAGCAGGAAUGGGAUGAAACUCCAGAUUUAGAGCAAUCAACUCAAGGUACAUAGGAAUAAAUAUGGCAAACCUGUAAUCAUCUUGUCAUUGACAUCAAGAUUAAGUGGCCCUGCACUAUCAUGGCGUGGGGGCACAAAGUGGCAGGAGGCUAAUGAACUAUCAUGGUCCUUCGUGACUCUCUUUUGUACCAUCUGGCACUUCCUGUACAUGAAUUUUGUCAGUCAAGUACAACACACAUCUAGUCAAAGAUCUUACCAAUAUUGCACGUUAAAGGAUCCCAAACCUGGUAAGCCACACCAAGUGCUCGCAGACCAUGCUCAGAGGUGAAAACCGUAGUAUACAAAGAAGCAGGAGAGUGUGACGCCUAGCACGACACAGUCGAUGAUGUACAUGACGCGGAAUGUGACAGCAUUCGCCGCCGCCGCCAUGGAGCCGCUGCGCUUGGGGUGGGAGCUUCGAGAGGAGCAUCGUCCUGAGGGAGCGAGAGAGCGACAAGGAAAAUUGGACGCACCGGCGGUGGACGGGACGGUCAGCCUCCAGCGCCGGUUGCUUUGUCAGCCAUCCGCGAGGGCGCGCCAGAAUGGGAAGGAGAAGCCCAUGACCAAGUAGGCCGCGGUUGUGCACACGGGUUGCAGACAGGAAGACGGGGACAAAGUAGCCCCGAGCGAGCGUGGAGAAGCUGCGACCAGGUUGAGCGCUUGGCCGGGGAGAUGGAGGGAGAAGGGGGUGCGAACAGGAAGAGGUGCUAUGGCGUCGGAUGAGGCGAGGAGGCGGCGGCGGGAUGCUCCAUAGCUGGCUAGGGUUUGGCACGGGGGAUAGGAUGGAUGGAUCACUGCUCCAUUUGGGCGGUGGCGGGUGGGGGGAGGCCGGGAGGGACGUCCCUGUGGCUGGCCAACGCGAGACAUGUCCUUUUUUUCCUCACCUAUGUGUCAUCCUCCAGAUUCUAGAAGGUCCGCGUCGUUCGCAAGCCACUCCAGAUUCUAGAAGGCUCAGCGUCGUUCGCAAGCUGUGGCUGGAGGCUGACUCUAGCCGUAGAUUCACAAUCGGGUGGAGCACAAAAAAAUGGACGACGUGGAUAGCGUCGUAGCUUCCGUUUUGAACCGGCUUUAAAGAAAUAGAAACUUUGUGCUCAAUCAGGUUUUAUUCAGGUUUUAUUCAGAAUUUUGCACCACACAGGUAGAUGGAUGAUGCAUAUAUAUAUGCAUCAACAUAACAUACGCUAUUAUAUUUCUAAUGGGAGCAGCAGCACACUUUGUGCUCCACGCUUUCGUCACACCAGCCACCGUCCUUGAAACCCUUCGAGCUACAGAUCAAGCGGCAGUUCUGGUGGUCCUCGGAAUAGGACGAGAAGUAUGGCCUUCUCGGUGGCGGCGGUGACUUCUUGGGUUUCCCGAUGCCUGCACACACAUCGCAGUCCAAACGAGAUCGGCCGGUUAAUUAAUAGAUAAUUAUCGCCGGCUCUUAGAACGAAAUAGUAACUAUUGCGUAAGUAUUUAGAAGUAGAGAUCGAAGGUGCCUACAGCCGCCGGCUUCGUAGCAUGGAGACAGUGAGGACAGAAUGGCAACAGCCAACAGAAGCGCGACGAUUGUGCUGCUCUUCAUCACCGCCAUAAGGAAAGAUGAUCAAGCUUCCCUUAUUACCACGAGCUAGUGACGAAGAGAGAUUAUAUGAUUUGUUUGUUCUAAUCUCCGUCUUCGAUCUCAC